CCAAUUAAAAGAUAAAAUGAUAGGGUUUUACUUCUCAGAUCUUAUGUGGACAGAGUGGGGCAAAAAUAGGUUUGCAGUUCACGUGGAAAAACGAUACAGUAAUUAAACAGUGACGCGAGGGGAAA